GGGGAUAUAGCUCAGUGAUAGAGCAUUCGACCGCAAAUCGAGAGGUCCCUGGUUCAAAUUCGGGUGCCGCCU
rnacentral:tRNA from 1 species